rnacentral:tRNA from 1 species
GGUCCCGUGGUGCUCAGUUGGUAGAGCAAAGCGUUUACAACGUCAAGGUAGUGUGUUCGAUUCCCACGGGGACCA